GUGCUGGCUUCGGCAGCACAUAUACUAAAACUGGAACUAUACAGAGAAGAUUAGCAUGGCCCCUGCACAAGGAUGAUACGCAAAUUCGUGAAGUGUUCCAUUAUAUA
ensembl:snRNA U6 U6 spliceosomal RNA